GACGGAGGGUGCAAGCGUUGUUCGGAAUUACUGGGCGUAAAGCGCGGGCAGGUGGUCUUUUAAGUCCUUUGUGAAAUCCCGGGGCUCAACUCCGGAUGUGCAUAGGAUACUGGAAGACUUGAGACUGGUAGAGGCGAGCGGAAUUCCUGGUGUAGCGGUGGAAUGCGUAGAUAUCAGGAAGAACACCGGUGGCGAAGGCGGCUUUCUGGGCCUUACCUGACGCUGAGGAGCGAAAGCUGGGGGAGCGAACAGG
rnacentral:rRNA from 1 species